AAACAAUUGACAAUAGAAUGCGGAACAAUCAAUUCUAGGUAUAAAGUGGGAGGUUUGAAAGGGAACAAGAUGGUAUAAAGAAGCCCAGAAAGCAGAAAUCUAAAACCAAAAAUGAUAGAAUGCCAACUAUUGCUCCCAGACCCACCUAUACCUGGGGUGGCAACUUUAGACAUUACCUGUGAACUUGACAUGAAAAUAUAAUGUUUGGAUUAGGUUUACUUGUGUUUGUGUCGAAAUUGUGUUAACUUGUUAUGAUAGGCCAAUAAUCAUUUCAAAUCACAGGUAUUAACCCAAUUUGACACAUUCAUGUGUUGACCCGCUAAUCGGUUUUGAACCGCUAACUCAUUUUGACCAUUAACUCGCAAAUUAUUUUAUUAGAAAAUAAUAAAUUAGUUAAUAUAAACUCAAUUAUUUAUUAUAUUAGAUCUUCAUUAUAGUUAAUUUUUGUUUUCUUUAUUAAAAUUUAUUUAAUUUAUGAAUUUAUAUAACAAGUU
rnacentral:misc_RNA from 1 species